GGUCCUAUGGGGUAGUGGUUAUCCCACCGGAUUUUGAUGAACAAUAUAUAUAGACAGAUAUAUAAGAGAAGUCAAAUCUUCCGGUAACGCCGGUUCGAAUCCGGCUAGGACCU
rfam:Aspergillus oryzae RIB40 DNA, chromosome 1.